CAAGCGGUGGAUGAUGUGGUUUAAUUCGAUGCAAUGACGAAAACCUUACCCACCUUUGACAUGUACGGAACCCUUUAGAGAUAGAGGGUGCUCGAAAGAGAGCCGUAACACAGGUGCUGCAUGGCUGUCGUCAGCUCGUGUCGUGAGAUGUUGGGUUAAGUCCCGCAACGAGCGCAACCCUUGUCAUUAGUUGCUACAUUCAGUUGGGCACUCUAAUGAGACUGCCGGUGACAAGCCGGAGGAAGGUGGGGAUGACGUCAAGUCCUCAUGGCCCUUAUAGGUGGGGCUACACACGUCAUACAAUGGCUGGUACAAAGGGUUGCCAACCCGCGAGGGGGAGCCAAUCCCAUAAAGCCAGUCGUAGUCCGGAUCGUAGUCUGCAACUCGACUACGUGAAGUCGGAAUCGCUAGUAAUCGUGGAUCAGAAUGUCACGGUGAAUACGUUCCCGGGUCUU
rnacentral:rRNA from 1 species